CUUAUGUAUUUAAACAAUUAAAGAUCAAAUGUGAUGUGUCUGGCUGCUAAAUUAUGCCGCCGUUCUCGGCCAGCUUCAUGGACAGGCCACCCCAACUUGGGCUUACACCAAGAUCGUUGGCCCUAAAGCCUAUCCUAACGCAAUCUGGAUUCAAAGGCCUUUGGAUCAGAUAUCCCUUCCAAAGAAGACCAAUAAAGCUCAUCAGGCCG
rnacentral:lncRNA from 1 species